GGAAUUUAACGAUAAUAACAGCAGAAACUAUCCCGACACAGCCCAAACCAGGGUGUCACAAGUCAUGAGAAACUAAGAAAUCCGGAUACAAGUCUAUCGAACACUAAAUCCGAUACAAUAGUUAAAAAAACAUGAAAAUGAUAAGAUAAGGGAGGCUCGAGGCUGCGAACGCCAACAGCUACCUCGUAGUCUCCGAAUCACUGCCUGGACUAGGAGAAUCAACACUCAGGAGCGGACUCUACGAUGCCUGAAUCUGCACACAUGGUGCAGGGAGUAAUGUGAGUACUCCGACUCAGUGAGUAAUAAUUAUAAAUAAUGGCUGAAAGUAUGAAAACACGUAAAGGUACAAAGCAAUUCCAUAUCAAGCAGUAAAAUCACUUAAAGUAGUAAAUCAGUGAAGCAAUCAAAUGAUAUCCCUUUUUAAAACACGUAAAACAGGUAAUUUAACAGGUAAAUAACAAGUAGAAAUCCGCCCCUCGGGCACAGUAUCAAUUGCUCAGAACAGUAUCAGCCCUCGGGCUCACUCUCAAAUCAUAAUGGGUACCCGCGCUCACUAUGGGUGUGCAGACCUCGGAGGGGCCCUCUACGACCCAAGCGCUAUAUCAAGCCACAUCAUGGCAUCAUCUCUCGGCACUCGGCCUCACAUCACUCGGAACUCGGCCUCACAUCACUCGGCACUCGGCCUCACAUCACUCAAGCCACCUCAUGGCAUAUAAAGUAUCUCAGGCCCUUGUCCUCAUAUCACUCAGCAUCUCCUCACAUAUGGCCCUCGGCAUCACUCAGUCCAAAAAUCAUCACAAGCCCCUCGGGUAUUAGUAAAACAGUAGUUCUCAGCCCAAAACAUGAUGUAGAAAUAUCAUUUAAGUUUCAAAUCUAAGUAAAAUAGGCUGAGUUUGUAAAACAGUAGAUAUCAACAGGACCGAGUUCAAAUAAUAAGUCAAGCAGUGAGGAAAACAGUGAUAAAAAUCCCCGAAGGGUCCAAAUAGUUAGCACGAAGCCCAAAUAUGGCAAUCAACCCAAAUCAUGAUGAUAACAAAUAAAUUUCAGUAAAAUACGCGGUAAAAUCAUCAAUUGGGACAUACCAAGUCACAAUCCCCAGCAGUAAAAGGCCUCACAAUUAUCAUCCAGCGCGUCUCACCUCAAUAUAGCACUACGAUGUGCAAUCUGAGGUUUCAAACCCUCAGGACAUCAUUUACAAUCAUUACUCACCUCGAACCGGCUAAUUCUCUAGCUCGCGACGCCUUCGCCCCUCGAAUUGGCCACCACAUGCAUCGAAUCUAUCUAAAAUCAGAACAAAUACGUCACAAUAUGCUAACGGAACAAAGCCCAAGCGAAAACAUUCGAAAAAUAUCAAAAAUCCCGAAAUUAGAAAAACCCGAGCCCCGGUCCCACGUCUCGGAAUCGGGUAAAAUUUACAUUUUCAGAAUCCUCACAUUUUCACGAGUCUAACUACACCAAAAUUAUCCAAUUCUGAUACCAUUUGGUCCUUCAAAUUAUCAUNNNNNNNNNNGAGCUCUCUAGGUCAAAAUAUUAAAUAAAAACACAAAACCUCGUAUUUAUAGAGUACCCCUCAGAUCUCAGCCUCCGCGGUCCGCACAGAACCACCGCGGUCCGUGCAAAACCACCGCGGCUGCACAUACCGCGGCCGCACUCCUUUUUGUGCGGUCCGCGCGGGUGAGUUUCGAGGCCUGCAACCCUUCUGGACCUGCCACAACUAUGAUUUUCGGCCUAAAACAUCUCGAAACCUACCCGGAACUCCCGGAACUUCAAACCAAUUGUACCAACACAUCCCAUGACAUCGUUCAAACUUUUUCAAAACCUCAAGAUGCUCACAACAACAUCAAAUCACCAAUUUAACAGAGGAUUCAAGCCUAAGAACUCUUAAAUUAUGCUUUCAAUCGAAAAGUCUAUCAAAUCUCGUCCUAAUGACCUAAAAUUUUGCACACAUAUCCCAAAUGACACAACGAAGCUAUUGACACUCUCGGAAUUCCAUUCCGACCCCCAUAUCAAAAUCUCGCCUAUCAACCGAAACCGCCAAAAUAUCAACUUCGUCAAUUUAAGCCUAAAUCUUCUCUACCACUCCAAAACCCAUUCUGAUCGCGCUCCUAAGUCAAAAAUCACCUCCCGAAGCUAACCAGACCACCAUAACUCACUUCCGAUCCUUCUAACACAUAAGUCAACAUCCGGUUGACUUUUCCAACUUAAGCCUUCUUAAAAGAGACUAAGUGUCUCAUUUCUUACCAAAUCCUCUCCGAACUCGAACUAAUCAACUCGAUCACAUAAAAUAUGGAUAACGAAGCAUAAAGAAGCUAAAAUAGGGGAAAACAGAGCGGUAACUCAUGAGACGACUGAUUGGGCUGUCACAACAACGCACCGGGAGAACUGAAGUCUACCCGGCCUUGUUGUUUGCCCAGCCCUAUUCUUAUUUGGUAUAACUUAUAUAGAAAAAGAGGGCCACGCGAACGUGGCACCAUUUUUAGAAGACUCAGAGGGGUGGCAUGAGAAGACAGUUAUAUACAAUUCAAACAAUAUUAAAGUGGUAAACAGAUUGCAUUUAGCACAAAAAAUUCACAGAAUAUAGUCAUAUUAACAAUAAAUGAAGCCAAGUAACAUUCAUAUUAACAAGCUAGAAUUCUUGACCCCUGAACCAGAGAUUCUAGGUUCUCAUCCUCAGCAGAGUCGCCAGAGCUGGCACACCUCCUUUUUCUAACCCCAAGAGGGUAUAAGGGAGUUUUUCCAAUUAAAGUGACAAUCGAAACGAGAUUAUUUAUAUUAAAUCACAGGCGCCACUUGGGAUAAUUAUGGUGUCCCAAGUCACCGGUUUAAAAUCUCGAAUCGAGUAAGUUGACUCUAUUUAUGGUCUGCAAACACAGAAAUCCGGGUAAGGAAUAUUAACCCGGGAGAAGGUGUUAGGUAUUCCCGAGUUUCGUGGUUCUAUCACGGUCGCUUUGGUCAUACUUGGCUUAUUAAAAUUGUCUAAUUACUCAUUUUAGAACCUAUGUGCAUUUCCCUCUUUCAAUUAAGAAAUUAUAUUUAAACAGGUCACACGCACGUGUACCCAUUUGCUUGGCGCGUCAAAAUCAUGUCACGCGGACGUGUCCACAAUUAAUAACGAUUUGUUAUUAUUAAGACAGUUUGGUUGAAGUUGCGCGAACGCAUACCUCGAUUUAUUUUUUUAGAAAUGAAAUCAUAAUUAUGUUACGCGAACGUAUAUAUAAUCACGAUAAUAGGCUAAGUCGCGCCUAAAGCAAGCUACGAUGUUCAUAUUUACUUCCUAAAAUAAUUUUUUGAGAUUAUUGGAAGCUCCGAAUUCUGGGGCAAUAUGAGUAUGGCCAUCAAAUCCUCGAUUCAAGAGCAAAUUUGCUUCAAGAAAUGGGAAUUAAGGAAAAUGAAUAAAGACUCCCAAAGCUAGUAACAGAUUCCAAAAUUUUUUUGAACAGUGGCUAACAAGACACGGUUUCAUUGUUACUCGAUCCAACCAAAAGAAGAGAUACAAAAAUCUUUAAAGAGGGAUUCUAACGUAACAAGUCAUCCGAACAUUCGUCCAAGAACAAACAACCCCAAGCAACUUAAUCAAAUUCAUAGCAAUUCUCGAAAUACUUGUUUUCCAACCGAAGAAUGAAACUAAUAGAAUUUUAUAUCAAAAUAAUGAAUCCUAACAAAUACUAAAUAAUCCUUAACAAUCAAUUUACCUAUUGACCUGAUUGUAUAGUUUUCGUCAUCACACAGUUUAUGCAACAAAAUGAAACCAAAACAUUCAAACAGAUGAACAACGGCAGAUUAAAAUGAACAACUCCAUGGAUCGAAAACACAACCAAUUACAUGUCGAAUACUAUUCCACAAAAUAGAAGCAGAGAGAAAUUGGAAAAUAAUGAAGGCAAAAAUGCAGAGCUUACAUAUUGAAAGCAAAGAGAACAACUCGAAGUUUCAAGUAGAAGUCGGAAAUGAGUCGGAAUGGGUUUCACUCGACAGAAAAUCGCGACUGAACAGAUACCUCGGACCACGACCUUCGACGACCUCAAAGCUCGCCGAAAAUUGACGAACCUCAGACGGACCCCGACUCUCAGCGAUAACUGAAACGGAUGACUGUUGUCAUCGGAAUUUCUCACUCUAUUUCUGCCCAUUCACCCCUGUAUUAGGCUAGCUCUUUUCCUUAUGUUUGUCUCUAUUUCUUAGAUUUUUCGUGUGUGUUAGCUUCAAGAAAAUGAGAUGAGGGGUCGUUCGUUUUUGAGGUUCACGACUAUUGGGUUCAAGAGAGAUUAGGUUUUCUUCCUUUUUUUUUUUAACGGUGAAGAAGCAGGAGUGUAGGGGGGGUCAUGAGUUUGGUUGCUGUGGCGUGUUCGCCACUGGUGGGGAGAGGAGGAGUAAUGGGUUUUUUGGGGUGGGGUAUGUGAAGAAGACGAGGUCAAGGGGUGGGGUUUUCUCUGAAAACGGUGCUGAUCCUAUUCUUAGUCUAGGGUCUAUUUUUUGUGUAUUCUUCAGCUCUU
rnacentral:lncRNA from 1 species